rnacentral:rRNA from 1 species
CCUACGGGUGGCAGCAGUGGGGGAUAUUGGACAAUGGACGGAAGUCUGAACCAGCCAAGUAGCGUGCAGGAUGACGGCCCUCCGGGUUGUAAACUGCUUUUAGAUGGGAAUAAAAGGGGGCUCGUGAGCCCCGUAUUGUGUGUACCAUCAGAAAAAGGACCGGAUAAUUGCGUGCCAGGAGCCGCGGUGAUGCAGAUGGCGCAAGCGAUGUGGGGAAUGACUGGUAGUAAAGCGUGCGGAGGCGGUUGCGUAAGUCGUGUGUGAAAGGCGCGGGCUCAACCCGCGGACGGCACAUGAUACUGCGAGGCUAGAGUAUGGGAGGGGGAACCGGAAUUCGCGGUGUAGCGGUGAAAUGCGUAGAUAUCGAGAGGAACACUCGUGGCGAAGGCGGCUUCCUGGACAUUAACUGACGUUGAGGCACGAAGGCGAGGGGAGCGAAAGGGAUUAGAUACCCGAGUAGUC